AAAUUGAAGAGUUUGAUCAUGGCUCAGAUUGAACGCUGGCGGCAGGCCUAACACAUGCAAGUCGAACGGUAACAGGAAGCAGCUUGCUGCUUCGCUGACGAGUGGCGGACGGGUGAGUAAUGUCUGGGAAACUGCCUGAUGGAGGGGGAUAACUACUGGAAACGGUGGCUAUGGCUA
rnacentral:rRNA from 1 species